rnacentral:rRNA from 1 species
AGACCCGAAACCCGGUGAUCUAGCCAUGGGCAGGUUGAAGGUUGGGUAACACUAACUGGAGGACCGAACCGACUAAUGUUGAAAAAUUAGCGGAUGACCUGUGGCUGGGGGUGAAAGGCCAAUCAAACCGGGAGAUAGCUGGUUCUCCCCGAAAGCUAUUUAGGUAGCGCCUCGUGAAUUCAUCUCCGGGGGUAGAGCACUGUUUCGGCUAGGGGGCCAUCCCGGCUUACCAACCCGAUGCAAACUGCGAAUACCGGAGAAUGUUAUCACGGGAGACACACGGCGGGUGCUAACGUCCGUCGUGAAGAGGGAAACAACCCAGACCGCCAGCUAAGGUCCCAAAGUCAUGGUUAAGUGGGAAACGAUGUGGGAAGGCCCAGACAGCCAGGAUGUUGGCUUAGAAGCAGCCAUCAUUUAAAGAAAGCGUAAUAGCUCACUGGUCGAGUCGGCCUGCGCGGAAGAUGUAACGGGGCUAAACCAUGCACCGAAGCUGCGGCAGCGAACGUAUCACCCAAGACAACUUUGCGGAGUUGACGAUUGACGGAGCGAAGCGACGUCAAAGCGUUCAUUAAAGUCGAGUUGGCUUAGGGAUACGUUCGUUGGGUAGGGGAGCGUUCUGUAAGCCUGUGAAGGUGGCCUGUGAGGGUUGCUGGAGGUAUCAGAAGUGCGAAUGCUGACAUAAGUAACGAUAAAGCGGGUGAAAAGCCCGCUCGCCGGAAGACCAAGGGUUCCUGUCCAACGUUAAUCGGGGCAGGGUGAGUCGACCCCUAAGGCGAGGCCGAAAGGCGUAGUCGAUGGGAAACGGGUUAAUAUUCCCGUACUUGGUGUUACUGCGAAGGGGGGACGGAGAAGGCUAUGUUGGCCGGGCGACGGUUGUCCCGGUUUAAGCGUGUAGGUGUGUGUUCCAGGUAAAUCCGGUUCACUUUAACACUGAGGCGUGAUGACGAGGCACUACGGUGCUGAAGCAACAAAUGCCCUGCUUCCAGGAAAAGCCUCUAAGCAUCAGGUAACAUCAAAUCGUACCCCAAACCGACACAGGUGGUCAGGUAGAGAAUACCAAGGCGCUUGAGAGAACUCGGGUGAAGGAACUAGGCAAAAUGGUGCCGUAACUUCGGGAGAAGGCACGCUGACACGUAGGUGAAGUGAUUUACUCAUGGAGCUGAAGUCAGUCGAAGAUACCAGCUGGCUGCAACUGUUUAUUAAAAACACAGCACUGUGCAAACACGAAAGUGGACGUAUACGGUGUGACGCCUGCCCGGUGCCGGAAGGUUAAUUGAUGGGGUCAGCGCAAGCGAAGCUCCUGAUCGAAGCCCCGGUAAACGGCGGCCGUAACUAUAACGGUCCUAAGGUAGCGAAAUUCCUUGUCGGGUAAGUUCCGACCUGCACGAAUGGCGUAAUGAUGGCCAGGCUGUCUCCACCCGAGACUCAGUGAAAUUGAACUCGCUGUGAAGAUGCAGUGUACCCGCGGCAAGACGGAAAGACCCCGUGAACCUUUACUAUAGCUUGACACUGAACAUUGAGCCUUGAUGUGUAG